AUGGGAAUAUCAUAGCUAUCACAGUCGUCACUAUGACAUAUGCUGUCCUCCAAAUCAAUCUGAAGUAGCUGAGCGGAUACUCUCCAUUAAAAGGAGUUGGGAACUGAUCAAUUGAUUUCACCUGGUAAGCACCAACUAGGUGAACAGCAAUGCAGAUAUUGGCGAAGUCAAUGAGCCAAAAGGGCUCGUAGAAUCCGAAGCCAGUAAGGAAAUUUCCUGGUGCAUUGUUUCCGAAUGCUGCAUAACCAACACAACCACAGAGUAUGUAGAAAAGACUGGUGGUUGAGAUGCCGACAAAAGUUGCCCUCUUCAUUGCUUUGUUUUCUGGUGGGCUUGAUCUCAAUGUGUCCUGUAAAUUCAUGGGAACAGGGACAUGCUGGGCCAAACCUUGGCCGGGGGAGUGAUGCAAGCGACAAGAGUUGGAACAUCAUCAAAAUGGGGUCCACAGGAAGAAGUUUGUUGGACCGUCGUCUCAAAUCCAUUCGAAACUCUGUGAUGGUGAUGUAAUGAAUCUGCACCCAAACCCAGAAAGAAAUGAAGA